AUAGCUGAAAGGUAGAGCACGUGCUUGGUGUGCAUGAGGUCCUGGGUCCAAUCCCCAGU
rnacentral:tRNA from 1 species